AGUCUAUGAUGAUCCUAUCCCAAAUCUGAAUUCCUGUUGAAAAACCACAGUUAUGGAUCUGGACUUUGAGAU